ACGGAAGCCUCUCAGGCUCUGUCCUUUUUGUUUGCCUUCGAAGAGUUAACUCCCUAAUUGUUUUCCGCACAAACACACGUGAAAGGGAGUGGUAACAACGCACUUUACAGCUUCUACCAUCAAUGUUUUGAGGACCUGUGAGAACAAAAGCUCGUGUAACUUUUUGGUAGACCAACAUUAUCUGCGUCACAAAAAUGAAACUGUAUUUUCUCAAGUAUUCAAGCGUGUUUCAGUUUUUCUUGCCGUUAAUACAUUAUACUAAAAAUGCAUAACUUUGGCUGAAACGCAAGAAAAGGAUUCUAUCAGUGCUUCAUCAUUGUUUUGGUUGUAUUCCCACGAAGGCGUUGGCUUGGGGAAUUGAUUGCACCUGUUUCUGAUUUCUUUGUAGACAUAACUGGCACCGAUCCAUGAACUUUCUAGAAUUAUUAAGCCUUGUGCAUAGCAGGGGAUUGUCACCCAGAAGUGUGUUCUAUUUGGGACUGGAACCUGUUACUGAUUUUGGUGAUAAGUGUCAUACCUCUCAACUGUCCCUGAAUUUCACCCAAGUUUUAGCUCUGCCCCACUUAAUCUGUCCUAAAACUAAAGCUCUUAGAGAAAAUGUCAUGAUUUCAAACUAAGGCUCUAAGUCUUCAGUUCUUCAUAUGAGCUGGCUCAUGCUAUUCUGGAAGUGGUCUGUGUAAUUGUCAAGCCUAUGAAUGGAACAUCUGGAAAAUUUUCAUAUAUCUAUAUACCAUUACUGUCCAAAAGCUCAUAUGAAAUCCUUGUAGCAUUGAUUACGUGAAGUAAUAAUUCCAGCAAAGAUCUCACCCAGUGAAUCAUUAUACAGUUUGUAUAAAAUAUUCGUAUAUGUUUACAUUGCAUUUUUGGGUAUAAGUAAAUGCACUGUUGCCUUCAAUACAUAUUUUCCUCAAAAACAAUAUCAUCAUCGUAGUAUCUUAGAUGAGAUAUUUCUUUCUUAACUUUUAAUUCUGUGCAAUCAGUAAAACCUAGUUAAGUCACACUGUUAUAUAUUUCAUCAAAGAUGAUAGAAGUGGAUAUAAAUGGCAAAAAGCCAGAACAAAAUUUUUAAACAGUAAACUAACAAGUGAUGUAAUGCAUGCGACUUACAGUUUAUGUCAGAAGAAAAAAGAGAGAGCAUGCUAUUGGUAACUGCUGGAAUUACUUAAAGAUCGUCUGUAAAGGAUCUUUAAGGUGAAUAUAUUUUUACCCAUCAAAGUAAAGCAAAUCUUUGUGCUUGCAAUCCCUAUCUGGUAUCAAAGUAAAGUGUCUUUAUUUCAAUUUUCAGUAGAAAAAUAACCUUUGAAUGUCCUACAGAAUGCAGAAGUUUAGUGCAAAUGCCUACCUUUGCAUUCACUUGGCAGGGAUGUUCGUCACAUGCUAAUAAUGUUUCUUGGAGUUUCUGAAAGUCCUACUUAAGACGUA